UACAGAGGUGGCAAGCGUUGUUCGGAAUUACUGGGCGUAAAGGGCGCGUAGGCGGCCUUCUAAGUCAGACGUGAAAUCCCCCGGCUUAACCUGGGAACUGCGUCUGAUACUGGGAGGCUAGAGUAUGGGAGAGGGAUGUAGAAUUCCAGGUGUAGCGGUGAAAUGCGUAGAUAUCAGGAGGAAUACCGGUGGCGAAAGCGACUGCUCUGGACGGCAACUGACAACUGAGGAACGAAAGCCAGGGGAGCAAACCGGG
rnacentral:rRNA from 1 species